UGCGUAGGUGGUUUCUUAAGUCAGAGGUGAAAGGCUACGGCUCAACCGUAGUAAGCCUUUGAAACUGGGAAACUUGAGUGCAGGAGAGGAGAGUGGAAUUCCUAGUGUAGCGGUGAAAUGCGUAGAUAUUAGGAGGAACACCAGUUGCGAAGGCGGCUCUCUGGACUGUAACUGACACUGAGGCACGAAAGCGUGGGAAGCAAACA
rnacentral:rRNA from 1 species